rnacentral:rRNA from 1 species
AUUGAACGCUGGCGGCAUGCCUUACACAUGCAAGUCGAACAGCAGCACGGGUGCUUGCACCUGGUGGCGAGUGGCGAACGGGUGAGUAAUAUAUCGGAACGUACCUUAUUGUGGGGGAUAACGCAGCGAAAGCUGUGCUAAUACCGCAUAAUCCCUAAGGGGGAAAGCGGGGGACCGUAAGGCCUCGCGCAAUUAGAGCGGCCGAUACCUGAUUAGCUAGUUGGUGAGGUAAAGGCUCACCAAGGCAACGAUCAGUAGCUGGUCUGAGAGGACGAUCAGCAAAACUGGGACUGAGACACGGCCCAGACUCCUACGGGAGGCAGCAGUGGGGAAUUUUGGACAAUGGGGGCAACCCUGAUCCAGCAAUGCCGCGUGAGUGAAGAAGGCCUUCGGGUUGUAAAGCUCUUUUGUCAGGGAAGAAACAGCAGCUCUAACACAGUUUGCGAAUGACGGUACCUGAAGAAUAAGCACCGGCUAACUACGUGCCAGCAGCCGCCGUAA